AAUGUUGGCGCCAAACCAACGCGGAAGUACGCUGCUGCCUCACGCUUUAACAUAAACUGGUAAAUUAUUAACGCUCAAAGUUGGUGGUUUCACGAAGAAGGUUUUAAACCUCUGCUUUGUUCUUGGAGUGAUCUGCAUGAGCCAGACUCUCCUCGUUGUCCUCUUCCUCUGCAGGGACCUGGGACAACAGCAAAAUCCGGUGGUAUCACCGACAAAUUAGCAGAUAAGUGCAUAAGGUGCCAUCUGUCAUCUCCACCCACCUGUAAUAGCCCCUCCAACCAGAGCAAACCCAAGGGAUGAAGCCAAGGCGGCGGCUUGCAUGGCGGCGUUCCCGCUAAAAGCCACAGCCACAAUACCAGCCAAGCCUCCCAGGAUGCCCGGCAUGCCGUGCAGAUUGUGGACACCACAGGUACUUGAAGCCCACUGUGGAAACAAUGCCGGCCACAAACCCAAUCAGCAUCGCCCCGAAUGGCCCAAUGUUCAUAUCGGCACACGUGCCCACGGCGACGCCACCAGCAAGUGUGGCGUUCUGAAUGUGCACCUGUAGGAUUAAAAGAUGACAGAACAUUUAUAAAACACACAUUUUAGGCUUUACCGUGUCAGGAAUAGUUGCCCGACCAUGUCUAGUUUUCCUUUGUGCUCCACCAGGCUGGAGACGGCGUAAGCAGAAAGCACGCAGGCGGCCAGGGAGAGGUAGGUGUUGAUGACCGCUGUGAGCUGGGUGAAGCCUGGUUCGGCAAUGGCUGAGUUAAAACUGGGCCAGAACAUCCAGAGGAACACAGUCCCUGUGAAGAAGAUGACUCAGUAA